GCACCCAAGGGGUGAAGCCUGCGGUUCAAUUGGAGUCAACGCCAGGAAACUUACCAGGAGAGACAGCAGGUUGAGGGUCAAGCUGAAGACUUUACCUGACGAGCUGAGAGGAGGUGCAUGGCCGUCGCCAGCUCGUGCCGUGAGGCGUCCUGUUAAGUCAGGCAACGAGCGAGACCCCUAUUGGUAAUUGCUAACUGUCCAGAGAUGGAUAGAGGCUAGUUACCGAGACUGCCGCUGCUAAAGUGGAGGAAGGAGCGGGCCACGGCAGGUCAGUAUGCCCCGAAUCUCCCGGGCCACACGCGAGCUGCAAUGGCAGGUACAAUGAGUUCCGACCUCGAAAGGGGAAGGCAAUCUCGAAAGCCUGCCGUAGUUGGGAUCGAGGGUUGUAACCCAUCCUCGUGAACAUGGAAUCCCUAGUAAUCGCGUGUCAUUAGCGCGCGGUGAAUACGUCCCUGCUCCUUGCACACACCGCCCGUCGUUCCACCCGAGCGACUCUUGGGUGAGGCGCCCGUCUUUCGUGGCGGCGUCGAAUCUAAGUUUCGUGAGGGGGGAA
rnacentral:rRNA from 1 species